rnacentral:tRNA from 1 species
GGAUGUAGUUCAGUUUGGUAGAACGCUUGACUGGGGGUCAAGAGGUCGCAGGUUCAAGUCCUGUCAUU